GCAAGCAAUAGCCGUCAUUUCAACGUCUCGUUUCAGUAUAGACCCGAUAUAGCCGGGCUGUGCCUAGCCCACUUCUAGCCCAAUUAAACUUUAAUUUGGUUACAUGUGGUUUUUGACAAAAUAAUUUGUGAGAUGGAUGCUAUUUUAUCAUGUAAGCAAAGUUAACAGCGAUUACAAGGCAUGCAAAGACACCAGUGAAUGUAAGAUGUUUGGUUUUAUUUAUCUUAUCUGAAUAUCUGCUGUCACGCAUAACAUUCAUUAUUUGACCGUAUUUCAAAGAUAAACAAAAUCCAGUUACAACUCCGAACCGCUAGAUGGCAGCAGUACACAAACACGAGGCCAAAUCUCACGAGAAAGAUUUCCGCUGUUUGAAAAGCAACAACAUCAGCGAGCAGCCACGAAGAAAGCAAUCUACCACACUCGUUUGGUUUUGUGUCAAAGCUGUGCGAAACUGGAGGGAGAAACUUGAGAGACCGUGCCGGAAGAAUGCUGGACAGAGUUCACUAAAAUUCAUUAAUUUCAAAGUUCAACAUGCAUGGUGGUGGUCCACUGCAGAAGCAAGCAUUUGAAAAAACAUCAGUUCUCAGUUAUUAAAGAGCGUGAACAGGUUGUGAAGUGGCAUGCAAAACACGUUCACAGAAGAGGGGCAAAAAUUUUAUGCGUCCAAUUAUGGGCCGGAAUGAGAUUCUGGCAGUAUGAUAACCAUGCUGUGUUGAACAACUUCCCAGCAGCAACAGAACUGGACGUGAAGGAUGCAAUGGGGGCAUUUCAAACAGUCACCAGGGAGCACGGGGGGGGGGGUGUAUAGAAAUUAGUACAAUUAAUAAGUUGACGUGAACUGAAGAUAGUUUGUUAAUGUUUAGAUGUUAUUUCAUUUUUAAAAUUGUAUUUUGUUAUAUAUGCUUUUAUUUUGUUACUGUUUUUAUUCUUUUUGUUAAGUAGUUUUUCUUAAUUUUGUCUUAUCUGAAUUUCUAUUGUAUUAACAAUAUUUUUUUGUAAUAAAUUGCAUGAUUGCAUGUUUAUGAGAACCUUUUUUAAUGGAUUAAAAAGAAUUCUUUAGCCAUUCUUUUGUUGUUUAUUAGACACACACGUGUAGUCGUUUAAUAGCCGUCUAUUUAACGGCUAGUCUAUUCUUGGGCUAUGAUAGACGUCUACUAGAUUUUCACUGACAGCCCAAAAUUAGCCUUGUUUUAGCCUAGACCCACAUUCACCGUCUAUUAGACGUAUAUAUGUAGACGUUUAAUAGCCGUCUAUUUGAUGACUAGUCUAUUCUUGGGCUAUGAUAGACGUCUACUAGAUUUUCACUGACAGCCCAAAAUUAGCCUUGUUUUAGCCUAGACGUCAGGGGGGUGUUUAGACGGCUACUAGACGUCUAUUAGCCGCAAAAUU